rnacentral:rRNA from 1 species
GACGAACGCUGGCGGCGUGCCUAAUACAUGCAAGUCGAACGCAGUGGGGACGGGUGAGUAACACGUGGGUAACCUCCCAUCAGAGGGGAUAACACUUGGAAACAGGUGCUAACCCGAUAAUGAUGGAUGGACCCGCGGUGCAGUCGCUAGGUGGAGAGGUAACGGCUCACCAAGGCCACGAUGCAUAGCCGACCUGAGAGUGGUGACGGCCACACUGGGACUGAGACACGGCUCAGAACCCUACGGGAGGCAGCAGUGGGGAAUCUUCGGCAAGGGACGAAAGUCUGACCGAUCAACGUCGCGUGAGUUGAGAAGGUUUUCGGAUCGGAAAACUCUGUUUGUAGAGAAGCGGUAUCUAACCAGAGAGCCACGGCUAACUACGUGCCAGCAGCCGCGGUAAUUC